GUGGGAAUAUUGGACAAUGGGCGAAAGCCUGAUCCAGCCAUGCCGCGUGUGUGAAGAAGGUCUUCGGAUUGUAAAGCACUUUAAGUUGGGAGGAAGGGCAGUAAGUUAAUACCUUGCUGUUUUGACGUUACCGACAGAAUAAGCACCGGCUAACUUCGUGCCAGCAGCCGCGGUAAUACGAAGGGUGCAAGCGUUAAUCGGAAUUACUGGGCGUAAAGCGCGCGUAGGUGGUUUUGUAAGUUGGAGGUGAAAUCCCCGGGCUCAACCUGGGAACUGCCUCCAAAACUGCAUGACUAGAGUACGGUAGAGGGUAGUGGAAUUUCCUGUGUAGCGGUGAAAUGCGUAGAUAUAGGAAGGAACACCAGUGGCGAAGGCGACUACCUGGACUGAUACUGACACUGAGGUGCGAAAGCGUGGGGAGCAAACAGGAUUAGAUACCCCGGUAGUCC
rnacentral:rRNA from 1 species